rnacentral:lncRNA from 1 species
CCUGGCAGUGAGGCUCAGAACGUGGCAGCUCCUCACACCCCAAGCAGGAGGGCAAUGAACACCAAAAGCAGUCCCUACCACCAACAUUGGUAGAGUUGGUAAGACUGAGCUGGAACUAUAGCUCAAAUAGUGGCUCUUCAGUCUUUUAAUGGCAAGAAUGUAGAACUGACUGUGCGACUCAUCCAAGAGCUUUGACCAUCUACUGUGACUCAGCCAAUGGAAACACUCGUGCUGUCUGUUGCUUGGUAUUGCCAUGUGCAUAAUUGUAAGACGUUCACGUCCCGUGUCCUCACCCAGGAAGGACACUGGGUUGGCAGUGGGUCUUCUGCAGUGAGCUGCCUGCACUCUCCUUGCUUUGGCCAUGGGUGUAGCACACGUGGUGGGAAGAAGCAUUUUGGCUGAAGGAAGAAGAGCAGAACAAGUAACAGGAUCCCUGCUUGAAUGGGCUGAUUUUGCUCAGAGGUGCCAGUUACAGCAGUCCAAUGAAGUACAGUUCAGCACAAUGGCUUUGCCCAGGUCGUUAAGGAGACUGAUGUAAAUGAUUCACAUCCCAUGGAUUUGCUUAGGAGACCACCACUUCAGGUGAGACAUCCCAGAACAGGGGAGAAGCUGGAAAAUCAGAUAUACAGGAUGGCACAAGACCUGUUGGUCCCGUAUGUCCAGCCUAUGGGAGUGACCCAGAUAAUUCCAUGGGUGAGAUCUGAUUUGAUUGUAUCUUUGCAUCCUUGCAAAAUCUACCACGUCCUGAAGCACUCAUAUGCCCAAAUGGCAACAGAGGCAUGGUGCUUUGGUCCUGGCAGAAGCCAGAGUUUAUGUGCUGUUUUAGAAAGUGCCUGUCCUGUAUUUCAAGGAUCAGCCCUUUCCCAUGGAGCAGAUCUGCUGCCACAAGGAACCAUACUGUAUCUUCC